CCUCUAGAGAUUAGUUUGAUCCUGGCUCAGAUUGAACGCUGGCGGCAGGCCUAACACAUGCAAGUCGAGCGGUAGCACAGAGAGCUUGCUCUCGGGUGACGAGCGGCGGACGGGUGAGUAAUGUCUGGGAAACUGCCUGAUGGAGGGGGAUAACUACUGGAAACGGUAGCUAAUACCGCAUAAUGUCGCAAGACCAAAGUGGGGGACCUUCGGGCCUCAUGCCAUCAGAUGUGCCCAGAUGGGAUUAGCUAGUAGGUGGGGUAAUGGCUCACCUAGGCGACGAUCCCUAGCUGGUCUGAGAGGAUGACCAGCCACACUGGAACUGAGACACGGUCCAGACUCCUACGGGAGGCAGCAGUGGGGAAUAUUGCACAAUGGGCGCAAGCCUGAUGCAGCCAUGCCGCGUGUAUGAAGAAGGCCUUCGGGUUGUAAAGUACUUUCAGCGAGGAGGAAGGCAUUAAGGUUAAUAACCUUAGUGAUUAACGUUACUCGCAGAAGAAGCACCGGCUAACUCCGUGCCAGCAGCCGCGGUAAUACGGAGGGUGCAAGCGUUAAUCGGAAUUACUGGGCGUAAAGCGCACGCAGGCGGUCUGUUAAGUCAGAUGUGAAAUCCCCGGGCUCAACCUGGGAACUGCAUUUGAAACUGGCAGGCUUGAGUCUUGUAGAGGGGGGUAGAAUUCCAGGUGUAGCGGUGAAAUGCGUAGAGAUCUGGAGGAAUACCGGUGGCGAAGGCGGCCCCCUGGACAAAGAC
rnacentral:rRNA from 1 species